rnacentral:misc_RNA from 1 species
UAACCUCUCCUAUUCUCUUUAUUCUAUUGAUAGCAUACACUGUAGGGCAAAUAUAGAUAACUCUGUACAUGUAAACUUGCUGUAAUUCAUUACAAAUUUUUAAAUUUUUAAGUGUUUUUAACAUGUCCUUCAUCAUUGAAAGAAUAUUCUGGGAGAGAGAGAGAGAGAGAGAGAGAGAGAGAGAGAGAGAGAGAUGAAUGGAGUAUGUGAUGGUGUGUGUUCUUGUAACCAGAGCUCAGUCGUGGGACUGUGUCGGCUCUUUUUCAACCAAUCGCACCUUUUUAUCUAUAUACAUUUUAUCUGCUGUAUAUUUUUAUAUUAUUGUUGAUAGUGUAUACUGUCGAUGCAAUGUUGAAAGAUUUUAAUAAAGGCAUAUACUU